rnacentral:tRNA from 1 species
AAUUUUAUAGUUUAGUGAGAAUAAUUAAUUUGCAAUUAAUAGGAAUCUUAGAUUAAAGUUA